AGCAGCCGCGGUAAUUCCAGCUCCAAUAGCGUAUAUUAAAGUUGUUGCAGUUAAAAAGCUCGUAGUUGAAUUUCGGGGUUAGUAGGUUGGUCAUGCCUCUGGUAUGUACUGGUCUCACUGAUUCCUCCUUCCUGAUGAACCUUAAUGCCAUUAAUUUGGUGUUUUGGGGAAUUUGGACCGUUACUUUGAAAAAAUUAGAGUGUUUAAAGCAAGCUAACGCUUGAAUACAUUAGCAUGGAAUAAUGAAAUAGGACGUUCGAUCCUAUUUUGUUGGUUUCUAGGAUUGACGUAAUGAUUAAUAGGGAUAGUUGGGGGCAUUAGUAUUCAAUUGUCAGAGGUGAAAUUCUUGGAUUUAUUGAAGACUAACUACUGCGAAAGCAUUUGCCAAGGAUGUUUUCAUUAAUCAAGAACGAAAGUUGGGGGCUCGAAGACGAUCAGAUACCGUCCUAGUCUCAACCAUAAACGAUGCCGACCAGGGAUCGGCGGAUGUUACUUUUAGGACUC
rnacentral:rRNA from 1 species